GUCCACACCGUAAACGCUGUCUACUAGCUGUUUGUGAUUUUAAAUCGUGAGUAGCGAAGCUAACGCGCUAAGUAGACCGCCUGGGGAGUACGGCCGCAAGGUUAAAACUCAAAUGAAUUGACGGGGGCCCGCACAAGCGGUGGAGCAUGUGGUUUAAUUCGAUGCAACGCGAAGAACCUUACCUACACUUGACAUGCAGAGAACUUUCCAGAGAUGGAUUGGUGCCUUCGGGAACUCUGACACAGGUGCUGCAUGGCU
rnacentral:rRNA from 1 species